UACGAAGGGGGGCUAGCGUUGCUCGGAAUUACUGGGCGUAAAGGGAGCGUAGGCGGGUUAUCAAGUUGGAGGUGAAAGCCCAGGGCUCAACCUUGGAAUUGCCUUCAAAACUGAUAGCCUAGAGUAUGAUAGAGGUAUGUGGAACUCCGAGUGUAGAGGUGAAAUUCGUAGAUAUUCGGAAGAACACCAGUGGCGAAGGCGACAUACUGGGUCAUGACUGACGCUGAGGCUCGAAAGCGUGGGGAGCAA
rnacentral:rRNA from 1 species